rnacentral:rRNA from 1 species
GACGAACGCUGGCGGCGUGCCUAAUACAUGCAAGUAGAACGCUGAAGGAGGAGCUUGCUUCUCUGGAUGAGUUGCGAACGGGUGAGUAACGCGUAGGUAACCUGCCUGGUAGCGGGGGAUAACUAUUGGAAACGAUAGCUAAUACCGCAUAAGAGUAGAUGUUGCAUGACAUUUGCUUAAAAGGUGCAAUUGCAUCACUACCAGAUGGACCUGCGUUGUAUUAGCUAGUUGGUGAGGUAACGGCUCACCAAGGCGACGAUACAUAGCCGACCUGAGAGGGUGAUCGGCCACACUGGGACUGAGACACGGCCCAGACUCCUACGGGAGGCAGCAGUAGGGAAUCUUCGGCAAUGGACGGAAGUCUGACCGAGCAACGCCGCGUGAGUGAAGAAGGUUUUCGGAUCGUAAAGCUCUGUUGUAAGAGAAGAACGAGUGUGAGAGUGGAAAGUUCACACUGGACGUACCUACCAGAAAGGAC